UACGAAGGGAGCUAGCGUUGUUCGGAAUCACUGGGCGUAAAGCGCACGUAGGCGGAUUUGUAAGUCAGGGGUGAAAUCCCGGGGCUCAACCUCGGAACUGCCUUUGAUACUGCAAAUCUCGAGUCCGAUAGAGGUGGGUGGAAUUCCUAGUGUAGAGGUGAAAUUCGUAGAUAUUAGGAAGAACACCGGUGGCGAAGGCGGCCCACUGGAUCGGUACUGACGCUGAGGUGCGAAAGCGUGGGGAGGCAAACAGG
rnacentral:rRNA from 1 species